AGAUUGAACGCUGGCGGCAGGCCUAACACAUGCAAGUCGAGCGGCAGCACGGGUACUUGUACCUGGUGGCGAGCGGCGGACGGGUGAGUAAUGCCUAGGAAUCUGCCUGGUAGUGGGGGAUAACGCUCGGAAACGGACGCUAAUACCGCAUACGUCCUACGGGAGAAAGCAGGGGACCUUCGGGCCUUGCGCUAUCAGAUGAGCCUAGGCCGGAUUAGCUAGUUGGUGAGGUAAUGGCUCACCAAGGCGACGAUCCGUAACUGGUCUGAGAGGAUGAUCAGUCACACUGGAACUGAGACACGGUCCAGACUCCUAGGGAGCAGCAGUGGGGAUA
rnacentral:rRNA from 1 species